rnacentral:rRNA from 1 species
GAUGAACGCUGGCGGCGUGCCUAAUACAUGCAAGUCGAGCGAACGGACGAGAAGCUUGCUUCUCUGAUGUUAGCGGCGGACGGGUGAGUAACACGUGGAUAACCUACCUAUAAGACUGGGAUAACUUCGGGAAACCGGAGCUAAUCCCGGAUGAUAUUUUGAACCGCAUGGUUCAAAAGUGAAAGACGGUCUUGCUGUCACUUAUAGAUGGAUCCGCGCUGCAUUAGCUAGUUGGUAAGGUAACGGCUUACCAAGGCAACGAUGCAUAGCCGACCUGAGAGGGUGAUCGGCCACACUGGAACUGAGACACGGUCCAGACUCCUACGGGAGGCAGCAGUAGGGAAUCUUCCGCAAUGGGCGCAAGCCUGACGGAGCAACGCCGCGUGAGUGAUGAAGGUCUUCGGAUCGUAAAACUCUGUUAUUAGGGAAGAACAUAUGUGUAAGUAACUGUGCACAUCUUGACGGUACCUAAUCAGAAAGCCACGGCUAACUACGUG